GUCAAAUAUGGACUACUGUCUACCUGAUCUAACAUCAGAUGGAGUCAAUGAGUAUGUAGAGAAUGUUCAUGAUUGAGCAUUAAUUUGCCAGAAAUUUGCUCAGAAGGUCAAACAUGGGCUCAUGUAUGGCUGAAGUAACAUCAGAGGGAGGCAAUGAUUAUGUAUGGAAAGAUCAUGUUCAAGGACGCUUUGGACCGAAAAAAAAAAAAGUAAA